GUGGGGAAUUUUGGACAAUGGGGGCAACCCUGAUCCAGCCAUGCCGCGUGCGGGAAGAAGGCCUUCGGGUUGUAAACCGCUUUUGUCAGGGAAGAAAUCCUUUGGGUUAAUACCUCGGAGGGAUGACGGUACCUGAAGAAUAAGCACCGGCUAACUACGUGCCAGCAGCCGCGGUAAUACGUAGGGUGCGAGCGUUAAUCGGAAUUACUGGGCGUAAAGCGUGCGCAGGCGGUUUUGUAAGAUCGAUGUGAAAUCCCCGGGCUCAACCUGGGAACUGCAUUGGUGACUGUAUAGCUAGAGUACGGUAGAGGGGGAUGGAAUUCCGCGUGUAGCAGUGAAAUGCGUAGAUAUGCGGAGGAACACCGAUGGCGAAGGCAAUCCCCUGGACCUGUACUGACGCUCAUGCACGAAAGCGUGGGGAGCAAACAGGAUUAGAUACCCUAGUAGUCC
rnacentral:rRNA from 1 species